GUUUUGUAUGAAAGGAGAGAAGGUUAGCACUCCCUUUGGCAAGGGUGGAAGAGGCUCUUGGCCUGACAUACAGUUAAGGCAUUGUCACCUACUUCAUGGCAUCUAGCCAUCAUUUUUA
rnacentral:ncRNA from 1 species